GUUUGCACUCGAGGCACUGGAAGCAAAACUGCGAUGGAGAGCUGUUUCUCAUUUAAAAGACACGCCUGAACUGGAUUCACUUUCCUCUUUACGGGCUGCGGGGACGGGCUUCCAUCACGCUUCAGCAAGGGAAGAUGAGAAGCAGAGCCGUUGCAUUAGCUCUGGUGGAAGACUGACUUCAUCAAGUGCUGCUCAACUUACAAAAUAAUCACCAAUGAUGGUUGGUUUUUGGAGGAAGAGAGGUAAAGGAGGAGGAUCAGCAUGACAGGCCUUUAAAGAGAGGCACUACAUCCAUUUUUGCAAGAGGUCUCAUAAUUUCCAAGGCUUCAGAGAAUCCUCAGAGAAGAUGUGAAAUUUGAGCUUCCUGUGGCUGAAGAGAAUUGCUGAUUUCAGCAUGACGAGGGUUUCUUCCAGCCGGUCGCCACAUGCUACCACUGCCAGAUGCAUCCAUUGUGGAGAGGGGAGCUGGGGUGUUGAAUGCUUUUGGUCUUUCGGUCUCCUAAAAUAGCACACACACAACAUCAAUUUUAAAAAUGCA